UCAAACUUGGUCAUUUAGAGGAAGUAAAAGUCGUAACAAGGUUUCCGUAGGUGAACCUGCGGAAGGAUCAUUAACGAAUAUCUAUGGCGUUGGUUGUAGCUGGCUCUUAGGAGCAUCUGUGCACGCCCGUCAUUCAUAUCUUUCCACCUGUGAACCAUGUGUAGGCCUGGAUACCCCCUCGCUUUGGCAACAAAGCGGAUGCGAGGAUUGCUGCGUCGACAAGGCCGGCUCUCUUUGAACUUCCAGGGCUAUGUUUUUACACACCCCAAUUGAAUGAAAAAGAAUGUAGUCAAUGGGCUUUCAAGCCUAUAAAACACUAUACAACUUUCAGCAACGGAUCUCUUGGCUCUCGCAUCGAUGAAGAACGCAGC
rnacentral:misc_RNA from 1 species